GAUCAUAUGUUUCUCAAGGAAUGCAAUCUAACAUUUGAAUAAUAUUAAUGUAAGGUUAUUUGUUACAAAAUUGCCAAACGGUGCUCAUGUGACAGCCCAGAGAUGGAGUUGUCAACAUAGAAAUAGCAUCAUAUUCACAUAAACCUCUAAAAAAGGGCAGGAAUAAACUUGUACAUUAGCUCAACAGAAGGAAGGGGGGAAGAAGAAAUCUCUAGUGAAACUCAAUUGAACAUACAUUAUCUUUGCUCAAAAAUGUGUGAAAGGUAUCAAUUUCAGUUUCAUGGAACUCAACUCAACUCAACUCAAC
rnacentral:misc_RNA from 1 species